UACAGAGGUCUCAAGCGUUGUUCGGAAUCACUGGGCGUAAAGGGUGCGUAGGCGGCACGGUAAGUCAGAGGUGAAAUCCCGGAGCUCAACUUCGGAAUUGCCUCCGAUACUGCCGUGCUUGAGGACUGGAGAGGAGAUUGGAAUUCACAGUGGAGCAGUGAAAUGCGUAGAUAUUGUGAGGAACACUAGUGGCGAGGGCGAAUCUCUGGACAGUUCCUGACGCUGAGGCACGAAGGCCAGGGGAGCAAACGGG
rnacentral:rRNA from 1 species